GCGCUUCUCAUAAAGUCAAAAGGCUUGGCUUUGCCACAACCACCGUAUAAUACAGUGUUUUUAGGUACCUUCAUAGCUCAUAGCCUUACACUCCGCUCCUUUUUGCAUCCCUUCCUGGGGGAGCUGGACAUUAAUGCGAUGUCCGGGAACUUUACAUGUGUGUGGGCGCUCACACAGGCCAGAACAACUAAAUGAGGAGCGAGGCUGGAGCAAGCAAAUGAUAAUUUAUAUGGCGACUGUACGGAACUUGAGUAAGAGAAACAUGCCUGGCUGAGAGUUGUAAAUGUUGUAAAAAUAAUUUCAUUUGCAUUAUCAUCAGCAUUUCCCUGGCAUGUAUUUAGCAUUUUAGUCCGCAUCUGCAUAUGUAUGCUCUCUGCUUCUCUGCUGGUCGCCGGUGCCACUUGAGAGGAGCUCUUGAAAUUAUAUGCGUUAUGACAAAUACUCCCAAAUAUGGCCAAGUGGCUUUCGUGGUGAUGUUGGUUUGGCGCUGGCAGCUUGACAAACAUUUUCACAAAAGUAUGAAGAAUUUCGUCUCGUUUCGUUUCGUUGCUGAGUUGUUGAAGUGUUUGUAUUGCCAGAGUCAAGGGAAAAAUGGUUUCGGCCAUCCAGAAUCGGAAAAUCCAUAAAGCAAAUGAAAUUCUGUGGAGCGAACCGAAGCCAAAGCCAAAGGCCCGUAAUCAAGUCAACUAAGCGCUGCUCAAAUCCAUUCAAGUGCAUUAAAAUUGAAUUUCGUUCAGCACACACACACACCCAAACACACAUCGAGAUCCCAGAGACAAAAUAACAACAAUAGAACAAAAACCGAACCCAAAUGCAUUCUCCACGGGGAAAUGGGGAAAUCAGUGAGGAAGGGGUUGCGGAUGCGCUCACACUUUGUAUGCAAAAUAUUUAUGUUGAUAAAUCAAGUUUGCUUUUGUGGAUUAGGUGUAUCUCAAAUAAAUUGAAUUUGUGGCGUAAAUUAAGCCACAACACAACCAAGAGCCAGGACACACAUCCGCAGGACUCUAAAGGAGGGGAGGCCUAGCAGACUGCCAACUUUUGCCAAGUUGUCGGCCAAGUUAUGAGCUUGUUUAAUUGAAAAUAAAUCUGCUUAAAGCCCCUGCUGAGGCGAGCAAUAUGACAGCCACACACUCUUAAUUUUGCCCCCCCUCCCGUCUUUCUCUCUUUCGGCUCUCGGGGCCGUAAAAGGCGAAAAAAAGAGAAAUUGCGGAAAAGUCAAGCCGCCGCUCGCCAUAGUAAAUCACUGGAGAGCCCCAGAAAACUCCGCCACUGCUGAUGCGGCUUUCUGGCACAAACAAAUGGCAACCACAACACUUGACCAGGAAAAACGGGAGUACGGAGGGUAUCGGGAUCGGGAUCCCGACGGGCAAACAGUUUGCAACUAGACUGAGCUGGCAGCGAUUAAACCGAGCCAAAGAGUGAAUAAAAAACAGCAAACUCCCGACCAGAGAAACAAUUCACUAGAACUUCGUUUGCCUGGCAGUUUAAAGUGCUUCUCUCUGCUUGUCUUCCAUUUGGGCCACACUUAAACUUAAAGCUUUUUUCCCCUGACCAGCCACAUUCAAUUAGAUUGGAAAAGUCACCAAAUCACUUGCUAAUGGCUUCGACUAUCGCUCCUCUAACCAACGUUCAUCGUUUUACAGGGCUGACCAGCCAGCCAGACAGACAGACAAAUAAUAUUUAUUUAUUGAUGGCGAAAUAUGGGCGGCAGCAACUGCAACAUCGUGGCACCCGCCAAACUGUCGGCAACAUUUAUAAAUUAUGAUUGCAAUCAACGUUCAACAAAAGCGCGUUCCACCAUCAGCAGGCAGACUACGUCCUAAUGACAGAUGCAGCCACACACACACAAAAAAUGGAUGGAGGGAAAAGCAGAAAGAGCGUGAGAGUAAAACACAGUCUGACUGCAAUAAACGUGACAAUUUAUAUAAAUGUUGCAUAUUCAUAACGAGGAGCAAUGGGAAAAAGUUUGCCACAAUGCCGCGCAUUUUGCGGCAGUCAGCUCCCGGCUAAUGAAUGUUGGCCAAAGGAGGAGGGUUCGGAUUCGGGAUUCAGAUUGGGGUCCGUAUGUGGAGCAGUUACUGCCGGCAGGCGUCCACAUCAACUUUUCUAAUCCGCUGCGUGGGCGCAGUCGGAGUGCCGAUCAUUAAUCUGCCGCUAAUGCCAAAAAUAAUUAAAAAAAAAAAAAACAUUCGCAUAUGGGUAGUAUGUACUUGUAUCUUUGUAUCUGGUAUCUGCGGAUCUGUGGGCUGGCAUGUGUGGAUUUCCUGGACAGCUGAGGCAACACCUCUCUCUAGAAACGACAAUCGCCUUGAGGGGCUUGGCUCUGGCUUUGACUUUGGCUUUGGACUUGGAUUUGCACUGGACACUUGUGAGUUGUGACAGCAGCAAAAUGGGUAAAAACGAGUGAGAAAUUGCCAAUUGCAGUUGUGGAGCUGGGUUGACUGCAGCUGAAACCAAGUCACGAAUGGUUGGUCCAGGUGAAAGUCCCACUCACGCACGAAGUUUGUGAUAGAUUCGCUGAUUACUCCCGGGACAGGUUUUCCAGCGAGAGAUACAAUUUAAACGGUUUCCACUCACGCAUGACAUUUGUGUAAUUUCAGCGAUUUUUUAUGGCCACUCAAGGAAAGUGUUUUACUGCAUUUAUGCAAACACGAUGUUGAAAGCAGUC